CACUCCUGCGGGAGGCAGCAGUGGGGAAUAUUGGACAAUGGGCGCAAGCCUGAUCCAGCCAUGCCGCGUGAGUGAUGAAGGCCCUAGGGUUGUAAAGCUCUUUCACCGGUGAAGAUAAUGACGGUAACCGGAGAAGAAGCCCCGGCUAACUUCGUGCCAGCAGCCGCGGUAAUACGAAGGGGGCUAGCGUUGUUCGGAUUUACUGGGCGUAAAGCGCACGUAGGCGGACUAUUAAGUCAGGGGUGAAAUCCCGGGGCUCAACCCCGGAACUGCCUUUGAUACUGGUAGUCUUGAGUUCGAGAGAGGUGAGUGGAAUUCCGAGUGUAGAGGUGAAAUUCGUAGAUAUUCGGAGGAACACCAGUGGCGAAGGCGGCUCACUGGCUCGAUACUGACGCUGAGGUGCGAAAGCGUGGGGAGCAAACAGGAUUAGAAACCCGAGUAGUCCCA
rnacentral:rRNA from 1 species